rnacentral:lncRNA from 1 species
UUCACACCUGGCCUUAUAAUGGACGAGAGUGAAACCCCAGAGCAGAGCACAGCCGACCAUAUAAGAAAGACUGAAAAAUUUUACCUAAGGUCAGAGCAUCUGAUGAAUGGGUUAAAGUGGAAUGGCUGUCGGAAACCAGAAAUGUAACCAAGGGAUUGCACGUGAUCCUCAUCAGUUUAAAAUGUAAGCAGUUCUAGAACUACAUGGAGUCAUCUGGAGGCAAAACCAGAAACCAAAUACAAAAUGUUGUAAUGAAGCUUAUUUGCUCUUCUGCAAGCUUACAAAUGCAUGCCUGAGAGGUCAGGAUUGCUCCAUUAAUCUUAACAGUACCAACUUAAACAACUAAUGACAGUAACUGAACUGUAAAUAUUAUUAACCAUUUCAUCUUUGAUCAAAUCAUAUGACGUUAGAUGUACAGAGAUUGACAUGAGUUUCCCAGUGCAGUAAAUGUGAGUAAUUGAAGGGAUAAAUUACUAACUGUCUGAACUGCUUGUUAAGAAAACUUCUGAAAUUUCC